rnacentral:rRNA from 1 species
CCAGACUCCUACGGGAGGCAGCAGUGGGGGAUAUUGGACAAUGGGGGAAACCCUGAUCCAGCGACGCCGCGUGAGUGAAGAAGUAUUUCGGUAUGUAAAGCUCUGUCAGCAGGGAAGAAAGAAAUGACGGUACCUGACCAAGAAGCCCCGGCUAACUACGUGCCAGCAGCCGCGGUAAUACGGAGGAUGCGAGCGUUAUCCGGAUUUAUUGGGUUUAAAGGGUGCGUAGGCGGACUGUUAAGUCAGCGGUAAAAGCCGGGGGCUCACCCCCGGCGAGCCGUUGAAACUGGCUGGCUUGAGAUGUCGAGAGGUAUGCGGAAUGCGCAGUGUAGCGGUGAAAUGCUUAGAUAUUGCGCAGAACUCCGAUUGCGAAGGCAGCAUGCCGGCUCCACACUGACGCUGAGGCACGAAAGCGUGGGUAUCGAACAGGAUUAGAUACCCGUGUA